CUCCUUCCUUGUCUCCAGUUACCAUGGUGAUGUCCCUUCCAUAUGUUUCAUGAGAAGCCACAGCUUCCCCCAUCAGCCUAGGGCCCAGCACCUGCUUAGCCUGGCUGAACGAGCUCUUCUUAGUCGUCACACAGCCCCCCUCCCUCACAGGUUCCACCCCCACCCUCCGAAAACCUAAGCCCAACGGAAGCUGAUGCCCUUUCCGAUGUUGCUUGAGAAAAGCUGAUGGCGCUUACUUGAGAGCCGGCUUCGAUCAGACCAUCUGCAGAUCUUUCCUUUACCUCUGACAUUUCUUGCUUCACCUUUGGAUGUCUUAUGUUCUCUGGGGGAAGAGAGAUUCAGUGGUAACAUUUCCUUCCUCCCACAAACAUUUCUAAGGAUACCCCUUUGUUUGUUUACUACCGAAGGAGUCCUGGAAGAAAAGCGUUAUGUACAUGUAAAAGACCCCUGCUAAUGCAGGUAGGAAACGAGCAGAAGAUGGUCCAAGUCCUUGAGCUCCGAGACCCAGAUGGAGUUCCAGGAUCCUUGUGCAGCUUCACUACCAUGUCGUUAGCUGCACAUUGAAUUGCCUGCUCUUCUCAGGACUAGGAAUACUCCUUCCAUUUAAGCUGAUGUCUUGAGCUUGAAACUUCAGACAUUUUCUUCAUGGAGGUGCAGAAACUACAGCUCUGAUUUCAGCUUGAUGUGAUUCAAAACAGCCUAUGAUGCUGUAGGCUUAACCACCAAGCUGGUCUACAGCAAUUCCAACCAGGCGGAGACUGACCAGCAAAGGCAAAUAGACGCCUGCUAGCUACAGAUGACACCGGAACCAAAGUCGUACCCCUUCCCCCACAAACACCUGCUCCACCCCUGCCCAGAUUCAAAAACUGGAGGAGGAACGGAAACAGGAGAAACGGAAGCUUUAUGACGUGAGGAGCCCGGAGAUGACGACAUCCGCCCACUUGUCAGUUCCUGGUACAGAUUCUUUCGCUGUCCAAUCGCGGAUUACGCUGUUGAUGCGUCCACUUCCCAACUACUUUUUUUCUGAGUCCAUAAAACUUCCCAGACUCCCGGUCAGGAAAACAGAGAUAGGGUUUACCCAGUUCUUCGUGUUGGCAGCAACGCGUUAAAUCUUCUUUUCCCCGAAGCUCAGUGACAGGCUGGCUCUGUGCCCAGUGGGCGGUAAGCUUGAACUCCUGGCUCUAGAACUUAUGAAAUACAUUUUCAGUCUUUCAGUCUGAUGAAGUUUUAAUUGUUGAAUCUGGCUUGAUCUGAGUGGUUUGGACUUUUUACCCUGUCAUUUAUAAAGCAAAGGUGAAGUGUUCUCAUAAUAGUAGUUCAUACUAAGAGACCAUGAGGUAGGGGUCUUUCAAGAUUUCCAAAAGCAUUUUACAGCAAUGCAUGGUAUAUCAACACUAGUAUACACCCUUACAACCAACAGACAAUUCUGUUACAUUGCGAACUCAUCACCUGGAUCCUGAGGGCAAUUUUUGUAGUGUUCAAAUGCUCCUUUUCCUGAAGAAGGUAUUCAGUGUAUGGGCCGUAUCUUCAGCAGCCAGGAGCGUUUACAUCUACAUCGACUUAAAGGAACAUGGUCAUAUUUCUCUUGUUACUCGAAGGUAAGACUGUAUGGCACAGGAAACUAGGAAGAAAAUGUGGAAGACAAAGACCAGAUUCUGCUCGGCAGAAUAUUCUAUGGACAGAGCAACUGAUUCCUCCACUCCUCUGUGCUGCCCAGCGCUAUAUUAACAGAUACACUGAAGUCUGGGAGUGUUAGGGGCCCCGUGCAGGGCCAUCCAGCCCACCUAACCAUGGCUGGGGGGUGGGUAGACAUAAGGAGCACACGGAAUUCCACCACUUUGCACAUACCUGCAGGGGGGCAUGCCAGCACACUGCAGUACAUGGGCAAAGUGCUUGGUACCAAGCCAACCAGAACAGUAUUGAUACAGCUGCAGGGCUUAUUGACCUGAAGACUACAGGGCAAGAACUCUUUAUAAUGGAAAUAACUAGAGCCCAUAUCCUCUGCAACACAUUUACACUGAACCUUGGAAUAAUAAUCUCUUAUGGAUGUACCUAGCACACCUGAAAUCAUGUAUAAUAUGCUCAUAUAUAAUGCUUAAAUAAACAUCAUAAAUAUACUCAAGACGAAAUUAUUGAGUUUGUU